rnacentral:SRP_RNA from 1 species
GUAGUGGCUAGGCCGGGGGGUUAGGCGUCCCCUGUAACCUGAAAUCGCCUUAUGCAGGGGCCGAAAACUUGGGGGCGGCAUGGGUUCCCCUAUUCAUUCCCAGAUUCUACAAUGACAUUUCGUCCUGUGGGGUAAGACGGUGGAGGGGCCUACUUUGUAGAAAGUAGGUAACCUCCUUAGUCUGCCGAACCCCGUCAGGCCCGGAAGGGAGCAGCGGUAGGUGGAACGUCGACGCUCACAGGGUAGCGGAAUGGAGUAGAAUCUGGGGUUAAAUGGAUAGGGAGUAUCCAUGUCCACCCCAAGGAAGCCAUCUU